rnacentral:lncRNA from 1 species
GGGCCCAAUAUCAACUCGGCCUUAGGCCCAAUAAUAAUCAUAAACUUGGCCUCAAGCCUAACCUACGGUGGCACAUAGUUUAGGGGUAAGAAACCAUAGUAACUUACCCGCUUGGUGCUAAACACUACUCCCUUUAGAUUAUCUGCGCCCAUCUCGUAAAAAUUCACUUUUAGAAAUAAUCUCAUUGUUCACCAUGAACUCAAUAAUCAAAUCUGUACUAUCAUG